CCCUCUGUUUUCUUCUCCAGCAAGCCGUGCCAAUGAUCGAACAGUGAGCGCUCCUGUGCAUCGUCUCCUUCCUCCCCGGUGUCCUCUUCCUUCAUUCGUCUCCGAGCGCUGCUCUUCUCGUGACUCUCUGGCGCUCGUCCACUUCCCCCUCGUCGCCUUCUCGUGCCUCCCCGUGACUGCUGAGCUCGGCAGAGCUUCGGCCGGACUCGCUCGGCGGAGCCCAGCGCGUCUUCUCCUUGCUCGACUAUAAAUAGCCAGCCCGAGCCCUCCCCAAGCAAGCCAGCCCUUCCCCUCUCCCUCUGGAGCCCUCUCACACUCGUGCCCGGCCGAAUCCCUCGCCGGAGCCCGGCAAUUUAGCCGGAGUUCGUCCAUGGCCUCCAUGCCAAACCCCUCUCUCCGGCCAUCCCCUGCCCCGUCCGAGCCCAUGGAUGGACGCACCACUCUCCGGCGACCGUCCCUAGCCUGUCGCCCACCUCAUUCCCCCACCGGAGUCACCCCAACCACCGACCCUGGCGCCCUCUGUCUCUGGUCACCGCUGACCUCCACGGCCCUGGCGCUGCAGGCUGCCCCAAGCCCCUCCCACGCUACCUACGGGCGCGGCGUGGAGUGGCGGAGCUGCCACGCGCGUCGCCUGGCCCUCCCGUGCCGCCAGCCGCUGGCUCCGACGAGAGCCGCGGCGCUCCUCUGCCUCGGCGUCGUGUUGGAGAAGAAGGACCAGGCGGGAGAGAGAGAAGAUGCCGUGGGCCCCGGCUGUCAUGGUCUCAGCGCUGACGUGGCGGGACCACUGACUGGAUUAAGUGGAAGCGUACUUCGGCCCAACGCCGAAUCCUUUAGUUUGUGAAUGUUCACCUGUUAAGGCCAGAAAUGGAUAUAUUUUUAUUCGAUUUCUGCCUAACGAACAAACGGCCACAACUUUUCAACCGUAACUCCGAAUGAGCCCCCUCUGAGAGAGAACUGUUUUCAGUAAAUCUUUCCGCGAUCGUUUUACACUUCUUCCUGGAGUAUUUGUCAACCCCCAG